AAUAUUUACUAAGUUAAGCAAGCUGGAAGCUGAGUGAAGACAGUUAUCUCAUAAGCCAAGAAAGUGUGAGGCGAUGCUGUUAAAAGCAUGGGAAAGACAGGUGAAGAGGAGGUGGACUGUGCACUUUACAAUACAAUUCCUGACCUGUACUGUGUUCAUAGUAGGAAUGCUGAUUAUGGUGACAAGAUAAGAUCAACUGGCUCAUCAUCAGAGAGAUACUUCUUCAUUGUUAGUGAGUGGAGUGAGGCCAGAGAAGCAGCAGAGCUGAUGGAAGAGAAGAGUGGCUGCGAUUGCUGGAAACAAAAAGAAGAAAAGAGGUAGAUGGCAAGGAGAUAAUAGGACAUCCACCUUUUAGAGGUGGAGGGCAUUUGGAUUGUAACAUGCAUUUUAAUUGUAACAUGCAACUCCCCCUGAAGAAAAUAUGCAUAAAGAUAAGGCAGUGGCCUCAUCAAAAUGGUACAGUUCCACAGGCAAGCAGGGCAGGCGUG
rnacentral:lncRNA from 1 species